CCUACGGGUGGCAGCAGUGAGGAAUAUUGGUCAAUGGGCGGAAGCCUGAACCAGCAACGCCGCGUGAAGGAAGAAGGCUUUCGGGUUGUAAACUUCUUUUGUCAGGGAAGAGUAGAAGACGGUACCUGACGAAUAAGCCACGGCUAACUACGUGCCAGCAGCCGCGGUAAUACGUAGGUGGCAAGCGUUGUCCGGAUUUACUGGGUGUAAGGGGCGUGUAGCCGGGUUGACAAGUCAGAUGUGAAAUCCUGCGGCUUAACCGCGGAACUGCAGUUGAAACUGUGGAUCUUGAGUACUGGAGAGGCAGACGGAAUUCCUGGUGUAGCGGUGAAAUGCGUAGAUAUUAGGAGGAACACCAGUGGCGAAGGCGGUAUGCUGGACAGCAACUGACGGUGAGGCGCGAAGGCGUGGGGAGCAAACAGGAUUAGAUACCCGUGUAGUC
rnacentral:rRNA from 1 species